CUCUGUGAAGAGCGGAGAUGUAGUGCAUCUGGUCAAGGAGGGGGACGAUGGACAGUGGCUUGUGCGUAACUUAAACACAUCUAAGGAGGGUUGGAUUCCUGCUGCUAAUCUUAUCAACCUCAUUGGAAAAUCAAAGUCUUGUCAGUCUCUCACCAGCUCAGAAGGCAGUGGCUCUGGGAACCUCAGCACAUCAUCUAGCUGCAGUGAGACCUACACAAGCUUCUCUGAUAUCAAACCCUGAAAAUACUCUGCACUUUCUUCAUCAUCAAACUGCCAUCAUUCCUACAUCAUGUGGCUAUCUGUACCGUUUUGCCAGCAUAUGUAAUCAUGAAUUUUGUCAAUUUUCCACAGAAAACAGAAGUUACAAAGGUAACUAUAGUUUUAUGAAUUCUAGGAUCACUGCCGGUGGCAGUAAACAAAAUGUCUCCUCAUAGUCUGCACGUGUUGAAAUCUUAUAUAAACAAAAUCAUAUGCAUGAUGUGUAGGCUACCUGUGCAUAUGCACUAUAAAUAACUUGGUAGGCUACAUAUGAGCUCUAUGAAACUUCUCAUGCUGAAAUUUUCCAAGUGACCAGCAUGACUGGCAAUCAUCUUGGGUUUCACAGAACCACAGUCAUCAAACUUCUGUACUGUUUUACUUCUUCCUUACUGCCAGUGGCAGUAAACAAAGUGGAUGACUUAAAGCAGCAUCAAGAGGAACAGACAACUUCUAGUCAACCAGUGGCUGGUAACGUGAAUCCACAGGCUGACAGAACCUCACAAAUGUACAGGGUGUUCCCCAAGAUGCCGCUACACAGAUUACACAGAUGGGACACCCCACAUUGCUCUCCAGGAGGUGGCCGCACCCCUGGUUGAGUGACAGACGACACCUGAAGAAUGCAGGCACACCUGCUAUUCCAUAUGCCUGUUUCAUCAUGUUUACAGCUCAGUGGGAAUGCCCCAGUAUGAACACAUCUUUUCUCUUGUUCUUUUCAUUAUAAGAAAUCAAAGACAGGUCCCAUGUUGCAGUGCCCCCCCAUGUCCCAAUGUUCAAGGUCCUAGCACACCUGCCAUAAUAGGAAAAGACCAGCAGAGCUUCAGCUCUUCCAAAAAGCUCUUCUUCUGAGUUGCCAAUAGCAAAUACAAACCAGCCACACCUUUAAGAGGGCAAAGACUGCACUCUGACAAUGACAGUCUGAAUGACAACCUCCUACCCCUUACUCCAAGGGAUGCUUACCUCCUGAACAUAGAUUAUAGAUCAUUAAUUAUCAACCUAAAGAACAAUUAACCAAGAAAAAACACCGGGCUGACAGCAUGAAAAUCAACGGGGGUGGGCGACCAGGGGGUAUUUCCAUCACAUUUUAGCAUAUAGGAUCUCACCCUGUGUGGCAUAUGAGGAGACAUAUUUGCUGUGUUUUCCUGCCAUUGGCAGUCAUGAGUUAAUGAAACAAAACUGCAUUUUUAUUUAAUUUUUCUAACCUCUCACAUACACUGCACAUUCAGAAUGUUAUACAUUUACUGUGAAGGAACAAAACACAUGCAUAUGGUAAUUUCACUGUAUAGAUCUGUCAUGGAGACAGAAGAUCCACGUGCUGAUAAUGUAAUAGAUGUAUGAAUGGGCCAGCAGGACUGAUCUCAGCAAAUGCAUCUAUUUAUGCUCACACUAAAAGCGGGGAGAGGUUAGUGGACAACAGCUGUCUUUGUGUUCACAUGCACUAAUUUCUUCAGGAGUUCAUAUUUUAACUCUGAAUGAGAAAGAGGGCAAUGUCCACUUUCUUUAGCUUGAAUGAAUUUUUCCUGAGAGCCAACUCUCUGUCCACUUUUUAAAAAAAAAAAAAGUUUAUUUAUUUGUAUGAAGCACCCACAGAUAUUCAUCCACUCUUUAAUUUUAUUGUUGUCUGUAAACUCUCCUCCUGUCUGCUGUCAGUCUGUCAUUAGAAACCUGUUCUGUCACCAGCUCUCCAGAGUUUGUGUGUGUGAGCUUUUGUCCUUUUGCUUUUGUCUCUGAUAGCCUGGUCAAACUCUUUGUGCAUUUUCAUAUAUGCUACAGUUUUACAAAUGUAUCCAUGUGAAUAAUGGGAGAUCACUGUAUAGGCUAACUUAUUCCCAGCAGAGGGAAAAUGUUUGGAAUGUAGAUAUUGUUUAUUAAUAUGUGUCUGUCAUGUUUGUUAAAGGAGAUGCUAUAUUGUACAUUAAGUAUGGUGAUGUCACUGCUUUGUGACUUGUCCAGUUUUGUUUUUUUUUACAUAAAUGACUUGUGACAAUUCA